rfam:Xiphophorus maculatus strain JP 163 A Contig1455.4, whole genome shotgun sequence.
GGUGAGGUGGCCGAGUGGUUAAGCCGAUGGACUACUAAUCCAUUGUACACAGAACGCGUGGGUUCAAAUCACAUCCUCGUCG